GAGCAAUUAUGUUGUGCAUCACUUGUUUCGUAAAUAUAUAUCACUGUUAUUAUCAUUAUUAUUAUUUUUUUCACUUUCUCUUCCUUUUCUGUUUUAUCUCAACCUAUGAGUUCUACUUAGCUGUUGUUUUUUUGUUUGUUUGUCUUUUUUUUCUCUUUUUUUUUGCCUUUUUCUCUUCCACCCCAGUGGGAAGGGGGAGUGAGCAAAGAACUGUGUUGUGUUUAGCUGCUUGCUGAGUUAAACAACAACAUAAGGUAAGAUUGAUCCUUUUUAAUUUAAAGAACUUCAAAGGCCUCAUGCAUGUGGAAAACACACUGUGUAAUUCCCUGUCUUCCUUUAGUACUUCAGUUAAUUCUGAAGUUGAGAGACUGGUAAUCUGAAAUACUAAUGAGAAAAAUAUUAUUGGAUUUAUUUUUUUUAUUAUUUUUUUAUUUUUUUGCUUUUGGUUUUUUUUUUUUUUUUUUUUUUUUUUUUUUUUUUUUUUUUUUUUUUUUUUUUUUUUUUUUUUUUACUGAGAUGUUUUUUUUUUUUUUUUGUUUGUUUUUUU
rnacentral:lncRNA from 1 species